rnacentral:rRNA from 1 species
UGGGGAAUUUUGGACAAUGGGCGAAAGCCUGAUCCAGCAAUGCCGCGUGUGUGAAGAAGGCCUUCGGGUUGUAAAGCACUUUUGUCCGGAAAGAAAUCCUUGGCUCUAAUACAGUCGGGGGAUGACGGUACCGGAAGAAUAAGCACCGGCUAACUACGUGCCAGCAGCCGCGGUAAUACGUAGGGUGCAAGCGUUAAUCGGAAUUACUGGGCGUAAAGCGUGCGCAGGCGGUUUGCUAAGACCGAUGUGAAAUCCCCGGGCUCAACCUGGGAACUGCAUUGGUGACUGGCAGGCUAGAGUAUGGCAGAGGGGGGUAGAAUUCCACGUGUAGCAGUGAAAUGCGUAGAGAUGUGGAGGAAUACCGAUGGCGAAGGCAGCCCCCUGGGCCAAUACUGACGCUCAUGCACGAAAGCGUGGGGGAGCAAACAGGAUUAGAUACCCCUGGUAGUCCACGCCCUAAACGAUGUCAACUAGUUGUUGGGGAUUCAUUCCUUAGUAACGUAGCUAACGCGUGAAGUUGACCGCCUGGGGAGUACGGUCGCAAGAUUAAAACUCAAAUGAAUUGACGGGGUCAUAGCUGUUUCCU